rnacentral:rRNA from 2 species
UGGCGAACGGGUGAGUAACGCGUGAGGAACCUGCCUCAAAGAGGGGGACAACAGUUGGAAACGACUGCUAAUACCGCAUAAGCCCACGGGUCGGCAUCGACCUGAGGGAAAAGGAGCAAUCCGCUUUGAGAUGGCCUCGCGUCCGAUUAGCUAGUUGGUGAGGUAACGGCCCACCAAGGCGACGAUCGGUAGCCGGACUGAGAGGUUGAACGGCCACAUUGGGACUGAGACACGGCCCAG